AGAUCGGCAUGAAGCGCCUAAAGGUUCAGCUCAAGCGACCCAAGGAUGCCUAUAGACCCUACUAACGGCCGCACUCAGUAGGGAAGACCAGUGUCCUGGAGUGGAGGUCAAUGCUGCUCAGGAAGAUCCUACAACUUCGUGUUAACACUGCUGAGGUGGAAAGGAUCAUCAGGUCAACACACCUGGGAAAGUGUAAAAAAUUGUAAUGCUAAAUCUUGGAGGAAAACAGAAGAGAAUUGUAAUGUUUGGAGGGAAAACACUGAAAGGUUAGGAGGGAAAGUAAUAGUUUUAUCUGAGUGCUGUGUGUUGGAGAGAAAAUUGAUAAAAUCUAUAUUUAUGGGGAAAAAUAAUAGUCUCUACCAAUCCCUCCUUUCACCACCUUGGUGAAGUGUGGUGUUAAGUGCAUCACUCUCUUACCCAAUGCUGUGAGGUGCUCUAUGGAUAAGUCACUGUGGUGGUCCCGUGUCAAUAUGCUUAGUCUCUCCAGGGUGGCCAUAGCAGCAGUGAGUAAGCAGCAGGACAGCACACUCAUUCUUUCAGCUAAAGCACUGCCAACACUUUUCUUGUCACAGUGUGCCUGGGAUGAGGGAAGGAUGCAGGUAAGGGGUCAAUAAGGAAGGAAUAAAGGGAAUUGGAUACAAGGAGGUAAGUGGAA